AAGCCAUGACAAAAAUAAAUCUGUUAUUCAACUUCCUUGGUCCUUGAAGUCCACGUGGACAAAUGAUGCAUAUUUAAUCACUAGACAGUUUAUCUCUGGAAAAAUGAAAAUGUCCCUCAAAGUUCUCUAGCAGCAAAUUCUAACCUAGGAUCCCAGGCCUUCAUGCCUUCUCCCACACAGGUGCAAAUUUGAUUAUUUGAUAAGAGAAAAUAAUAAUGGCAUCAUCUUGAAGUGGAUUUCUUCAACAAAGAGAAGAUCUAAUUCAGUUCCAAUUGAUCAAUGAUGGACAUAAGCAGCUACACCCAAAGAAGGAACACUGGGAAAUGAGUGUGAACUGUUUGCAUUUUUGUUUUUCUUCUCAGAUUAUUUACCUUCUGAAUCCAAUUUUUCCUGUGCAACAAGAGAACUGUUCGGUUGUGUAUCUAGGAUAUACUAUAACAUAUUUAACAUGUAUAAGAUUGCUUGCCAUCUGGGGGAGGGGUGGAGGGAGGGAAGGGAAAAGUUGGAACAGAAGUCAGUGCAAGGGAUAAUGUUGUAAAAAUUACCCAGGCAUAUGUUCUAUCAACAAAAAGUUAUUUUAAAAAACGGCAUCAUUUUUUUGGUAGAACUUUGCCUUCAUCUUUCUGGCCAUCUCUCUAAAGCAAAAGUUCAGUUAAGUAUAUACAAGAUAGACAUGAGACUUGGAUAUCUUAAAGUAAUUCAUCAGUUUGCCAUUGUUUGUAUUCUUAUAAAUCUACAAGUAUUCAUUAAACACCUUCUAUGUACCAGAUACGUGCUGGGUGCUGGAGAUAUGAAUGGAGCAAUGCCUGUUUGCAAGAGAAUCAUAGAUGUGGAUCUGGAAGGGAUUUUAGAGGCUGUCUGGCCCAGCUCCCACAUUUUAAAUAAUGGGGAAACUGAGACCCACACAGAUUAAAUGACUUGACAGAUAGCCAAAUGUCAAAAAGUAGGUUUUGAACCAAGGUUCUUUAAGUUUGUAGCUGGUGCUCUUACAAAUGUGGUAAAAACAAAAACCAAAACCAAAAAAAACUAACAUUAAUUGUAAACCCAAAUGAUCAGGCAUAAAUGUAGGAUUCCCACAUGGAAAGGAAGGCAAUGAAGUCAAUAGGUAUUAUGAAAAUGGGACUGAUGUAGACUAUGGUACAGUGAAGUCAGGAGACAACAUGGAGAGGACAUGGAAAGGAGGACAGCAUUUUCAUCUGCACUGGGACAUAGUUGGGUUAAUAUGGAUUUUUUUUUUUGGUACUGGGGGAGAGGAAGGAAUAUGGAGAAGCAAGGAGAUGUUUUAGGAGUAAAGCUUUGCAAUGGGUUUGUGAGAAACUCUACUCCUCCUAGACUAAAAGCUGCUUCUAAUCACUUGAAUCACUCCCCUGAUUUUGAUUUUGCUUACCAUAAUGCUUUUCUCUCUAAAAUCUUCUGUGAAGCUAAAGGGAAAAGAAAGACAAAGGGAAGCAAGAAAGGAAAAAGGUGCAAUUGGAUUUGUCCAGGGAGCAGCACAGUUUGUAUUAGUACUGGUUCCAAUACAAAAUAGGAUACUGAAUAAUACAGUAAUGUUCAUCUAUGAAUUACUUUUGAGGCAGAUUUGCCUUAUCUUUUUCUUUUCCCUAUUUUAUGGCACUGCAUUCAUAAGUCUAUCUCUAGAUAGUCUAUCUCUAAUCAUUUUUCCUCAAAUCUAAUUAUAUUUCUCCAUCUUCCCACUGGAUAUCUUCCCUUGAAUUCCUGGUCAUCCACCUUCAAGUUAUCAUCUAAAGUUGAACUCAUCCAUUCCAAAUCAGUUUUUUCUCUUGAUACCCAUGUUUCUGUCAAAAGUAUCCUUUUGAUGACAGUAACCUAAAAUCAAAACUUAUCAUUUUUGAUUACUCCAAAAGUAGUUACUAUGGCCUAUUGCUUCUUCCUUUAUAAUGUAUCUCAUUCUUACCUCUUCCUUUCCAUUUCCAUAAUUACUAUCCUAGACAAGGUGUUCAUUAGCACAUCUUAAUUACUGAAGUAGUCUAAUACUUGAUCUCUUUCCUCCAGUCUCUCCAUUUUAUCAUUCCCUUAUUCAAAAUCUUCAGGAGUUCCCCAUUACUUGGAGGAUAAAACCAAAACUCUUUAGUUUAUCAUUCAAAGCACUUCACAAUAUGAACCUAACUUACUGCUUCAAUUUAUCUCCUACCAUUCUCCCCAAUACAUUCUUUAUUCCAGGCAGAAUCACCUUCCUUCUCCUCCCUUUAUCCUUGCCUCUGAAGAUUUCUUUGUUCUAGCAGUUGUUCCCCAUUGAAUUCUGUCCAUCUACACAAAGACUCAUCUACACUAAGACUCAAUGUCUUUUAGGCUUCAGGAAAAUAUGAAAAUUGCUUUCAGGUAUCUGAAGAGCUACCAGAAGGAAGAGAUGUUAAUUUUAAUUAGGCUGGCCUUAGAGAGCUAAUGAAUGGAAGUUGUACAGAGACAGCCUUAGAACAAUCAGAGCAGUCAAUAAAUAAAUAAAAACAAUUAGAGCUGCUCAUAAAUGAAAUGAAUUGUCUCCAAAUGUCAUAAGUGCUUCAUCACUGUAGGUCUUCGAGCAGAGGUUAAACCAUCACUUGUCAGGAGGGAUGCAGAAAGAUUUUAUUUCAAAUUGAAUUGGAAAACUUUUAAGGUCCCUCCCAAGUCUGAGUUCUCUAAUUCCUCUAUGCUAGCUUCCCUGAUCUAUCAAUCGCACUGGAACCUUUUCUUCUCAGAACCCCUAAUAUUUACUUAGAUGCAUUCAGAUAGCAUAGUGGAUAAAACAUUAGAUUUGGUGUCAGGAAGAACUGAGUUCAAAUCCUAACUCAGACACUUUUUUGCUAUGUGACCUUGAGUCUCUUAAUCAUUGUCUGCCUCAAUUUCCUCAUCUGUAAAAUGGAAAUAAUAAUAGUACCUGGCUUAUAGGGAGAUUGUGAGGAUCAAAAAAUAUUUGUAAAGCACUGUGCUAACUUUAAAGAGCUAUACAAAAGCCAGCUAUUGUUGUGAUUAUCAUUGCUACUACUGGAAACUUAGGCAUAACAUUUUAUAAUGUUUCUUAUAGUAUUGCCUUGAACACUGACAGUUAGUUAAUAAUUUAUAUGAAUACAUCUUAUAUUAUAUUAGAGCAUAAAUUAAUUGAGAAUAAGACAAAUAUACUAUCGGUCUUUGUAUCUUUAUGGUGUCUAAUCCAGUACUAUUGUCCAUUGUGAGUCCUUCAUAAAUACAUGUUAAAUGAAUGAUAAGAGACAAAAGCUAAUUCUGUUACUUAAUAACAACAGCUCUUAAAAAAAAAAAAGCUUGUGUAGAAAAGAUGUCAACACUAUUGUUCAACAGGUCCUUAUUUUUCAUUAUCUAUAGAUUUAAUUUCUCUGUUUUUCCUGUUUCCUAUUACCAUGAGUUAAAUGAGAAUGGAAUGCUUAUUUUGAAAGAAGAAUCGUAUGUGAAAUACCCUCAGUCUCAGAUUUUUAAAUCAGCAAGUCUCUAGAGAGGAAGAAAGCAGUUGGUUAAGAAAGACAAACUCUUGCCAACUCUAGGAAAAAAAUGUGGGGAGCUAGGGUGGGGGAGGGUGAUCAUGUAACCAAUCCAUGCUACUCUGAAUCAUUCUUCUCAUUUAGAUUUCCAUGGAUUCUGAAGGCAACCUAAGGUUACAUUUUCUGGGUAGGUCCUAGAAAUAUCUUGAUGAAUUAGUAUCUCCUUAAAUAAGCUUUGUGUGGGCUGGUGGGACUUUUUUCUUUUCUUUCUCUUUUUUUUUCUUUUUUUGGCUUUAAGUGAGCCAGCAGAGAUUUUCUUGCCAUUAUUAAGUGCCAAUGUAUUCCCAAAAGAAACUGGGCUGGGCAGAUGUCCUAUCUUGAAUGCUUUGAAAAACCAUAAUGCAUUAGGCACUUAGAAAAUGUUAUCUGAAUUAACAAACAAUAAACCAGCUUCUGGUGUGAAGCAAGGCCUUUAGCUGUGUCUGUUUUGUUUUUUCCUUUCUUCCCAACCUUGGAAUCAUUUCUUCCAAUGGAAUUGUCCUAGUUCAAUGACAGUUUGGCACAGUCCUCUCCCUAGAGACUAAAGAACUCUGGUAAAUUCAAAUCACAAUCACUUUGACUUCUCUUCUAAGGAAGUUGAAAGGCAAGCUCAAGUUAAGGAUGCUUUUCCCCAGGCUUUUGUCCUGCGUGACCCAUCAGCCUGAGUUCCUCUCUCCCUGAGCAGGAGAAAAGUAAUCCAAUGUUGAAAGAAUCCCUUGGAAUUCUAUUGAAGAAAUCCCGUAACAUCAUUCUUGCCUAUGGUGGCAAUGAAAGGUGCUAUAUCUAGUACUUGGGAACUCACAAAUGCUCACAAAUGCAAAAGUCUCAUGAAAGGGCACCAACAUAAGAAGAGGCUAUCAUGGAUAAGAGGGUAACGUUAAAGAAAGAAUCUUAAAGAACAUAGAAUCAUAGGAAGGUAAGCUAAAGAUUUUCUGUGUUAUAUCUUCAUAAAGCAAUAAGGACUUCCCUCUUGGUAAAAGAUGGGACCAUAGUAAGUCCUACACUCUUCCUUCCCCCAAUCUCUAAACUGUUUGCAGAUGGGUCUCAUUGCUUCAUUUCCAGAAUCAUAAGAUCAUAGAUCUAAUUGAAGCAGUAAUUGGGUCACAGAAGCAGUAAUUGGGAUAUGAACCAAGUCCCACUCCACUCCAG